rnacentral:lncRNA from 1 species
AAGUUCCAUACUUCCAUCACACAUUUAUAAUCCAAUACAUAUUUGAUCACCGCUUGUUACAUAAUUGUUAGGCGUUUCUUUCCACGGCGAAUGCCUGCCAGAAAUACCACCUCCACUGCUCGCCGUCAUUACUCUUAUUGACUCCUAAUGCGCCACUGUAACACUUACACAUAUAUAUAUAUAAGAGUAGUGACGGUGAGCAGUAGUCCGCCGUCAAAGAAAGCCCCUAUCAAUCGAUGGAAGCAACGUAGACUGUUUUUAUACAUUAUCUUGUAAAAAGAAAAAAGUUAGAGUGUUGUGCCCUAGUGUAUAAGGCAAUGGAAAAUCAUAUAAAUAAACAAAUAAAAUAAUAAAAAAAGCAAUAUUGUGCCCGAGGCUUAUACUAAAAAAGUGAGAAUAAAUAAAUUUCGCUUGGAUAAAUUUGUGGUUGAGGAAAUAAUGGCAGCAGCCGACUCAUCAACCAACGACAGCCUUUAUCCAAUUGCAGUUUUGAUAGAUGAAUCAUAAAAUGAAAAUUUACUACUGCGAUUUAAUUCGAUCGAAAAACUUUCAACGAUUGCCUUGGCACUUGGUGCUGAACGUACUCGUAGUGAGUUGAUGCCUUUUUUGACGUGGACAAUGUAUGAUGGAGAUGAAAUUUAAUUGGCACUCGCUGAACAACUUGUAACAUUCACACCACUCGUAGGUGGACUUGAUCAUGUUUAUUGUUUAUUGCCACCACUUGAAGCAUUGGCAGCUGUUGAAGAAACAGUUGUACGUGACAAAGCAGUUGAAUUGUCGCGUAAUAUUGCAAGUCAACACAGUCCAGCAUAUCUUGAAGAUCAUUUUGUUCCAUUGGUAUACAACGUUUGGCAUCUGGUGAUUAAUUUACGUCAAGAACAUCAGCAUGUGGUUU